GCCAGGGGCAGUGGCCCACAGCCUGUAAUCUUAGCAGCUUGGGAGGCUGAGGCAGGAGGAUCGCAAGGUGGAGGCCAGCCUCAGCCACCUAGCCAGGCCUCCAGCAACUCAGCGAGACCCUGUCUCUA
rnacentral:sRNA from 1 species